CCUACGGGUGGCUGCAGUGGGGAAUAUUGGACAAUGGGGGCAACCCUGAUCCAGCCAUGCCGCGUGUGUGAAGAAGGCCCUCGGGUUGUAAAGCACUUUCAGUGGGGAAGAACGCCUGGUGGUUAAUACCCAGCAGGAAAGACAUCACUCACAGAAGAAGCACCGGCUAACUCCGUGCCAGCAGCCGCGGUAAUACGGAGGGUGCGAGCGUUAAUCGGAAUUACUGGGCGUAAAGCGCGCGUAGGUGGCUUGAUAAGCCGGUUGUGAAAGCCCCGGGCUCAACCUGGGAACGGCAUCCGGAACUGUCAAGCUAGAGUGCAGGAGAGGAAGGUAGAAUUCCCGGUGUAGCGGUGAAAUGCGUAGAGAUCGGGAGGAAUACCAGUGGCGAAGGCGGCCUUCUGGACUGACACUGACACUGAGGUGCGAAAGCGUGGGUAGCAAACAGGAUUAGAUACCCCAGUAGUC
rnacentral:rRNA from 1 species